CAACCGCUGGAAGGGCGGAGUCUCGCAAAGCGCGUGCGCGCCCCCGCUUUCCGAACCGGCGCCCCCAUUUCCGGUGCUGGACCACCUGUCAACUUUCCCUUUCUCCCUUAAAGGAAGUUGGCUCGGGUAAUUUCUCCGCUGGGAAACUUCUAGUCUCGCUCCAUCGCCAAGCGCCAGGCUGGAGUGUAGUGGCGCGAUCUCGGCUCACUACAACCUCCGCCUCCCGGGAUCAAGCAAUUCUCCUGCCCCAGCCUCCUGAGUAUCUGGGACUACAGGCGUGUGCCACCACGCCCAGCUAAUUUUUGUCUUGAUCUCUUGACCUGUCCUUCUCAGCCUUCCAAAGUGCUGGGAUUACAGGCGUGAGCCACCGUGCCUGGCCUAAUACAAAUUUUGUAUGUAAUGUUUUACUAAAUACAUGUAAAGUUUUAUUAAAUAAAAUUUAUAUGUUUUUUUCCCUGUUAA